UACGUAUUGUUCGCGCUUUAAUCGGAAUUACUGGGCGUAAAGCGUGCGCAGGCGGUUAUAUAAGACAGAUGUGAAAUCCCCGGGCUCAACCUGGGCACUGCAUUUGUGACUGUAUAGCUAGAGUACGGUAGAGGGGGAUGGAAUUCCGCGUGUAGCAGUGAAAUGCGUAGAUAUGCGGAGGAACACCGAUGGCGAAGGCAAUCCCCUGGACCUGUACUGACGCUCAUGCACGAAAGCGUGGGGAGCAAACAGGAUUAGAUAACCCGGUAGUCC
rnacentral:rRNA from 1 species